rnacentral:rRNA from 1 species
CUCGCCUGCAUGAAGUCGGAAUUGCUAGUAAUCGUAGGUCAGCAUACUACGGUGAACACGUUCCCGGGCCUUGUACACACCGCCCGUCAAACCAUGAGAGUUGGCAACACCCGAAGUCGGUAGUCUAACCGCAAGGAGGACGCCGCCGAAGGUGGGGUUGAUGAUUAGGGUUAAGUCGUAACAAGGUACC